AAGCUGAUCAGCAUGCCGCGUGAGUGAUGAAGGCCUUCGGGUGUAAAACUCUUUUUGCUGGGAAGAUAAUGACCGGACCAGUCCGGGGAGGACCGGACAAUUUCAUGCCAGCACCCCCGGUUAUACGACAGGGGCCACGGUUGUUCGGAAUUUCUGGGCGUUAAGCGGAUUUAUGGGGUUUGACGGGUGCGGAGGGAAAGCCCCGGGCUUAACCCGAAAGCUGCCUUUCAAACUGGCCCUCUGGCUUGCUGGCUAGGGGAGUUGAAUUUACUAGGGGCAGGCGAAAUGUGACUAGAAGCGGUGAAAUGCAUCUGUAUGACACAGAGCGCCGUUUGCUAACCCAGAUUGCUAUGCUAAAAUUGACGCUGAGCCACGAAUUCGAGGCCCUGAGACUCAAAUANAUACCCUGGUUGUCAANCAUUU
rnacentral:rRNA from 1 species